rnacentral:lncRNA from 1 species
AUUGUAGGUAUUGACUCAUGUUUUGCUGGUUUUUUAUGUUUUGCUGGUUUUUUCUUAUUUGACUCAUGCUAGCCAAAAAAAUAUUGUGGUUAAAAUUGUGCCCAGGCUCCAAUAUAAUCCUGGCUCCGCCACUGGCAUCAGAGGUAUGGUAUUGUUGUUUGUUUUUGGAUAGCUCAUGUUUGUAUCUUUCUCCCAACAAAAAGGAUUCACGGUAAAACUUAAAAAUAAAAUCUUCUUUUUGUUAGAUNNNNNNNNNNNNNNNNNNNNNNNNNNNNNNNNNNNNNUAUUGUAGGCAUUGUUACUUGCUAGAUCUGGAAGAAAAUAAAUAAACAAACCCAUUCAUGAAGCUUGCUAGAUCCGGAAAAAACAAAUAAACUCAUAAAGAAACCAGUUAGAUAUGUAAAUCUAUGAAGUUAUACUAUUUUUUUAAAAAAAUAUAUAUAUAUGUAGUUUGUGGCGGCUUAGGCCGACAAUAAGGCUUCUGCAGGUUGAAAAGACCAUGAUUGGCUUGUGACGGUCUAGGCCGCCGGUAAUUUUCGCCACGCCAUUUAUUGACGGUUCUGACCGCCACUACGCUUACCAACGCCUCAUUUCUUGGCGUUUUGAAGCCGCCAGCUAGCCGCCAGUAAAUGCUCAAUUUCUGGCGCUUUUUGCCACUUAUAGAGGGUUUUUGGCCCCCAAAAAAUUGGUGUUUUCUUGUAGUGAGGUACACUGUAACGACCCAAAUUUAUUAUUCACUAUUUAAGUGUUUAAUUAUUUGGUGAUGUGGUUUUAAGUAAGAUAGUAACUUUAAGUUAUUUAUCGAGAGUUUUAGUUAACGCGCGAGUUAGUGAGAGUUAACGCGAGUUGAGUCAAGUUAUUGGACUUGAGGCCCCAUGGGCCUUGUGGACUUGUGAGGGGGCGCCAUAUAGCCUAAGAGGGAGAGAGAACAUUUCAUUUUCUCAUGUUCUUGUGAGAGUGAAGAGAGAAGGGAGAGCAAGAGGAGAGCUAGGGCAAGAGCUUGGAGAAGGGAUUCGAGGAGCAAUCUUCGUGAGUUCGUCGAUCCAAGGUAAGAGAGUAGAUUUCAUAUUCGUGGGUGACUCGAGGAAGAGGAGAAUGUCGAUUUCUCCUCACCCGAACUUCCUCCACCCCAUUUUCGUUUUAGUUUUGGAUGGAU